UUGGUUUAGGUACAAGCAUGUGAUGUGAUCCUGGCCAAUAUGAUGUAAGGAGAUAACAACUAGAAGAGUUCUCAAUCCUUAAGAAGCUUAAUCUCUUUUGCUGGCCACUAUCCAGCCUGUAAGGGAUGCCUGGAACUGUCGGACCCAGCCUGCAGCUGUAAGGACCUGGUCAAGGUCAAGGUUGACAUGCUGAGGAUGGCACAGCAGAGUGGAGCCAGGUCCUUGAGGACCUGGUUGAGCUGUUGAGUUAACCAACCCUGAAGCCACCAUCUCCAGGGCAUUUUUUUUUUUUUAAUAUGAGAGAGUAAAUUUUUCACCUAUUUUAAGCCAGUGGUUUUCAAAGUCUGGUCUCUGGACCAGAAACGCCAAUCAGCAUCCCCUGGGAACUUGUUAGAAAUGCAAAUUCUUGAGUCUUACCCAGAACUACUUAAUUAAAAUCUCUGGGAGGGGGGCUCAGCUGUUUGCCUUUUAACAAGCCCUUCAGGUACAUGCUAAAGUUUGAGAGCCACCAUUUAAGCCAUUGGAGUCAAGAUUGGAGGAGGAUUUGAUUCUGUUUACUUGCUGCUGAAAUAUUCUAAGUGGAAUAGUCUUAACAGAAAGGGUCUGGAAAGAAUCUAGAAUCAUUCCAAUUCUACCCCUUCAUUUCGUACCCGUGACUGAGUUUAGGGAGGAACUGUAUGCGAUGUUUGCUAUGAUGCUGCUCCUGAGGGCUGGGCCCUUUCUCUCUUGAAGUUCUUAUUCUCAUUUUUAUCAUUAUCAUCAAUAAAUCUUUACUUUCUGCAUAGAGUGCAUAGGGUGAGUCCCACAGAUGCUUUACCUGAUGCCUUUGACCUCAAGAUGCCUGUACCAGUUAGGAAACAAACUGGGUGAUUAGAAGUGAGCUUAAUGAAAGUAAUAAAAAGAUUGUUCACGGGACAGGUGUGAUGGCUCACACCUGUAAUCUCAGUACUUUGGGAGGCCGAGGCGGGUGGAUCAUGAGGUCAGAAGAUCGAGACCAGCCUGGCCAACAUGGUGAAACCCCGUCUCUACUAAAAACACACAAAAAAUUAGUUGAGCCUGGUGGCCAUCCCUGGAACCUGCGAACGUGACCUUAUUCGGAAAAGGGGUCUUUGCAGAUAUCAUUAAGUUAAGGAUCUUGAGAUCAGGAGAUUACUCUGGUUUAUCCAAGUGGGCCUUAAAUCUAAUGACAAAUGUCUUCGUAAAUGAAAGAGAGGGAUUUUAGACAGAAGAGAAGACAGAAGAGGAGGAGGCAAUGUGACCACAGAGAUAGAGAUUGGUGUGAUGAGGCCACAAGACAAGGAAUGCUGACAGCCACCAGAAGCUGGGAGAGGCAGAGAACUGAUCCUGUUGAUCCCAGAGCCUCCAGAGGGAGCGUGACCCUGCCAAUACCUUGAUUCCAGACUUCUGUCCUCCUGGAACUAUGAGAGAACAUAUUACUGUUGUUUUUAACCCACCAAGUUUGCAGGAAUUUAUUAUAGCAGCCACAGGAAACUAAUGUAUAGGUCCAUAGAGAGGACGAUAUGCCAGGAGCUGUAAGGAGCCCAGACAACCUGGAACAAUGCUGCAAGGAGAGAAUGAGGGAAUCAAUUCCCAGCUUCCCCUUUCUUCAUUCUCUCUGACUUCCAGAUAGUGCCUCCCACUGGCCAAAUCCAAAUGAAAACUGUAGGGCAAGGGACUCCCCUUGAUAGGGCCCCUAGGGGUUGGCCUCCUGAGGCUCAGUAGGAUGGAGAAGGUUGGACUUGGAGGGACAGGUGGAACUGUCUGGCAUGCCCCCCAUUGCCCGAAAAGCACAACUGAACUGUUAGCAUUGAACAGCCAUGGAAGGAUGAGGUGCAAACAUUUCCAUGAGAUAUAUGUGGCAGGAAUUAGUGCUUUGUGUAGUCAAGAGGAAAAUAAAUUGUCUGAAAAAGCUGGUGGAAGAAGUAGAAAGUUAAGUAAUGUUUGAGUAGCGGGAGAAAGAUGGUUGGAUGAUCCAGGGAUGAGAAAGUGAUUCCUUAUAUAUGUAUAUAUUUGUGCUUGGAAGAUAGCUAGAGAUGAUGGUGGGAUAAGAGUAUUAGAUAUGUGUGAACAGCAUGUGCUUAUGAUGUUGGGGAAAUCAGGUGGGAAGAGGGAGGAACUGGGGAACACUAACCUCAAGUAGAACUAUGACAUUUUUUUCAAAUUUCUGGCAUUGUGGCAAUCAACAAUAGGGUCACUGCUGCCCCAUGUAGAGCCCUAACUAUCCCUUCUACUGACAGGCGAGGACAGCCCCAUAAGAUCUAGCCUCAAAGUCUAGGAGUACUGCUUCCCAGAAAGGUAGUGAGUGAGUGUUGAAGUCAGUCCUAUGUCCUUUGAAUAAGAAGACACAGGGCUCAGAGGAUAGAAGUUGGGCUGGAUGAAUUACAGGGACCUGUGGUCAUCAUUCUAGAAGCAAUUUGCUAGGCAGGGUCUGGAGGUGUUGGACUCAAACCCAUCACAGCCACUGUCCUAUGAGAUCCUAGGAAAAGUGUUUUGUUUUUCCUGUGUCUCUCUCAGGAAAGUGGCCACAAUGAGAUACUUUCUAUCUAUCUUGAAGAGACUUUGAUAAAAACAAAUAAUGGUAAAUAAGCCAGGGGAAAUAAAUAACAAUCACUAAUUUAUUAAAUUUUCAAAAAUCAUCUAAUUACAAAGCAGGGAAGAGAAAAGAAAAGGCUAGGGAGGUGGAAGAUACAGAAACAAUGUCAGUGGGCUAAGAAGAGACAAAAGCAUUCACAUUUAUCAGAAGAGAUAACCUUGCCCCCUCUUGCACUUGUGCUCAGGAAAUUUUGCUUCUCUUUGCCAGAUAAUCCAAGACGGAGGAGAAGCAUCUCCAUGGCACCUCACUCUGAUUUGCGAGGAUUUGGCCAGAGAAACUGUUCUCAAGAGUGUGAAUUAGGUGGCAGCUACUAUUUUAUGGUACCUCGCUAUCCACUUUGUAAGAGUCUCCGAGAGCAGAGGGAGCACAUCCCCUGACACCUCGCACAUGACAGUUGCUUCAUCAGUGCUGGUUGUGCUCCUGAGAACUCAGCAUGGAGAGAGGCCUAGUCCCCGCUCCCCUGCUCCCAAUUGCUCUGUGACUCAUUCUCACGGCUCGCCCUUCAGGUUCUCGUUCUUGAAUUUCUCCUGCUCCCUCCCACUCCCAGUCCUUUGCCAUGUCUCCCCUGUGCCUGGAACACUUUUUGAUGCAGGUCACCUCCAGGACUCUGCCACUUUCAAGUUGAGUGUUCCAGGUAGGUCACUGAACCCCUCUGAGUUUCAGUGUCUUUAUCUGUAAAGAUAAAAACUAGACAUAACCUUUGGCUGACUGGGAGAGUUGGGAUUGGAUAAGGCAAGUACUGAGUCCAAGGCCUGGCUCUGAGUCCCUGCCCCAGGGACAGCAGCUCCUGUGAUUUUGGUUCAUCAUGGUAGGUCCCUCCUUCUCUCUCUCUUCUUGGGAACUGCCACCAUCCUUUCUGUUCUUUAACCUGCUUCUCCGCCAAUAAAGGCAGAGUGGAACACUCUCUUCCUGGCUCCUAUUUCCUCGCUGCCUCCAAAGACAAGCCUGUCACCUCCCCACCCCGCCUGCCCACAUCUUUGUUUUACUAAAUGAAGGAAUAAUUAUAAAAAUUUUAGAACUUCAUCAGGUCCUACAAGCAUACACCUGAAUGAUAACUUCCCUGUUGGGAUAAUAGCUAGAAACUCUGUUGGGUGUUUGCCUCUUGCUCGAAUUCCUUAUUUUAUUUUAUUUUGAGCAAAAACACACAUUUAUUUACUAACCAAAGGCUGAUCCUAAUCUAAGCCAACACUUUAAAAUAGCUGCAUGUAAAAUAUUUGUGAUGAAGAUAAUUAAACACAGUAAUGAAAAAAAUAAAAACAAAAACAAGCAGGAUGGAGAUAUGUUCAUUGAACUGAAAUUGUUCCUUCUCUCAGCUAAUUGCUCUCCAAAGCAGUAAGGAAAUUUUUAUUCUGCUUUUUUUAUUUUCACAGAUCUGAG
rnacentral:lncRNA from 1 species